rnacentral:lncRNA from 1 species
CACCUUGCUCCUUAGGACCCCAGCCACCAUAUGCUGCACCAGUUGGGAGCUCAACUUGCCAAGAACAAGAAGAAAGAGAAAAGUGGUGAAAACUGACCCCAGCACAGCACAGACAUGGUGGAAAUGUUUGAGCUGAAGACUUUAGAGAAAUCUUGGAGAGAAAAUGUUCUUUCAACUGCUUUCAGGAGCGUGUAAAAUCAGCAGAUGCCAGCCAAAUGUUGCUCUCCUUCCCAUCUCUUCUUUCAGAGGUUUCCUGCCAGAGCUGUGCAGGGGUUGAAGUGGAUGAUGAAGAGGCUGAGCAGGGGGUUUGGCAGCGCUGCAUCCAACACAGACGCCUCUCUUGUGGGCAUGCCGAGAGAGACAUGGCCCCCCGGAUGGAAGGUUGCUGGCAGUCUAGAGCCGGAACUGUAGAGGGAAAAGGAGGCAGGCAGGAGUCAUGGGCAAACAACACGCAUCAUUACCUGUGUGAGUAA